GAUGAACGCUAGCGGCAGGCUUAACACAUGCAAGUCGAGGGGUAUAGGGGGCUUGCUCCCUAGAGACCGGCGCACGGGUGCGUAACGCGUAUGCAAUCUACCUUUUACAGGGGGAUAGCCCAGAGAAAUUUGGAUUAAUACCCCAUGGUAUAUGUGAAUGGCAUCAUUUAUAUAUUAAAGUCACAACGGUAAAAGAUGAG
rnacentral:rRNA from 1 species